GAUUUCUGGCGUGAUCUGCCUGGCCCGCCGCCAUUGUGUGUGCGAGUGCCGGGUCGGAUCUGCCAUCCUUCCAGAGAACGGUCCUACCCUUCACUGGGCCGGGGCCGCUAUCUGGAUCGUUUACUUUGAAAAAAUUAGAGUGUUUCAAGCAGGCGACUCGCUGUGAAUACAUUAGCAUGGAAUAAUAACUUAGGACUUCGGUUCUAUUUUGUUGGUUUCUAGGACUGAAGUAAUGAUUGAUAGGGAUAGUUGGGGGUGCUAGUAUUCAGUGGCCAGAGGUGAAAUUCUCGGAUUCACUGAAGACUAACUUAUGCGAAAGCAUU
rnacentral:rRNA from 2 species